GCAGUAUUCCCUCCGUCCCAAAAUUCUUGUCUUACAUUUGUUUAGAUACGGAUGUAUCUAACACUAAAAUGUAACUAGAUACAUCUAUAUUAAGACAAAUUUAAGACAAGAAUUUUGGGAUGGAGGGAGUACAAA
rfam:Triticum aestivum genome assembly, contig: Triticum_aestivum_CS42_TGACv1_scaffold_000168_1AL